CAGCCAUUUUGUCAAGAUUUGGUGCCUUCCCCGUGUAAAUAAAGCACAUCAUUUCCUUAAAAACUUCAGGUUCCACAUCAUUGAUUUCAACCCGAUUCUUUUUACUCUCUUCCAUCUCAUGCUCAAACAUGGCGCUGAAAACUGGGGAACGUGCUGCUAGGAUGGCUUUGUGAGCCUGGAACUCCUGGCCUGCAACACACAGGCAGCAAUCUGUGAAGCGGGAGUUCUCCCAGAGUCCUCCCAGCUCGUCUGCCAAGCGGCACUCUGGUACCUUCACCAUGUUCAUAGUGUUCUGGCCAGAGAUAUUUACAGAGUCCUGUACCACACUCACCUCACAGAAUAGAGUGAGUUUGUCAUCAGGAAGAAGUCCAUUGGCUUCAUCUAGAAGAAAGUCUCUUCUAAUAAAUUUUUUGAAUCCCCAGUCCUUGCCUUGUACAAAUCGAUACGCUCGCUGGCUCUCCAUUGCUUUUGUUUCUUCUCCUUUAGCAUUCAAGAUGGAGAAUUUGAACUUUGCUCGAACUUCACUUUUUGGACAGCUCACCAGCAACAGAUAGAGGGAUAGAUAAUCUUUACUCUCCUCAUCCAAGCCUUUAGGGUUCACACGUAAACACCAUUUGAGUUUAUCAUUGGCUCCAGAUGAAAAGGUUGAGCUUUUGAUUACCUCACCCAUCUCCUCUCGGCAGAAGCUG
rnacentral:lncRNA from 1 species